rnacentral:rRNA from 1 species
AUUGAACGCUGGCGGCAGGCUUAACACAUGCAAGUCGAGCGGGGAUGAGGUGCUUGCACCUUAUCUUAGCGGCGGACGGGUGAGUAAUGCUUAGGAAUCUGCCAUUUAGUGGGGGACAACAUUCCGAAAGGGAUGCUAAUACCGCAUACGUCCUACGGGAGAAAGCAGGGGAUCUUAGGACCUUGCGCUAAAUGAUGAGCCUAAGUCGGAUUAGCUAGUUGGUGGGGUAAAGGCCUACCAAGGCGACGAUCUGUAGCGGGUCUGAGAGGAUGAUCCGCCACACUGGGACUGAGACACGGCCCAGACUCCUACGGGAGGCAGCAGUGGGGAAUAUUGGACAAUGGGCGGAAGCCUGAUCCAGCCACGCCGCGUGUGUGAAGAAGGCCUUUUGGUUGUAAAGCACUUUGAGCGAGGAGGAGGCUACCUAGAUUAAUACUCUGGGAUAGUGGACGUUACUCGCAGAAUAAGCACCGGCUAACUCUGUGCCAGCCGCCGCAGUAACAC